rnacentral:lncRNA from 1 species
UGAAGUAUUGUUUGAUGAUGUUUAUGAAUUGUUUGAAACAAUAGGAAAGUAAGUACAUGUAUUUUUAUACGACCGCAAAAAUUGAAAAUUUUUUGGUCGUAUAUUGGUAUGACGUUGGCGUCCUCAUCGUUUUCAUCGUCCGAAGACAUUUGGUUUUCGCACUUUAACUUUGGUAUAAGUAAAUAGAAAUUUAAACACAAGGUUUAUGACCAUAAAAGGAAGGUUGGGAUUGAUUUUGGGAGUUUUGGUCCCAACAGUUUAGGAAUUAGGGGCCAAAAAGGGCCCAAAUAAGCAUUUUUCUUGGUGUUCGCACAAUAACUUUAGUAUAAGUAAACAGAGAGAAAUCUAUGAAAUUUUAACAUAAGGUUUAUGACCACUAAAGGAAGGUUGGGAUUGAUUUUGGGAGUUUUGGUUCCAACAGUUCAGGAAUUAGGGACCAAAAAAAGGUCCCAAAUAAGCAUUUUUCUUGGUUUUUGCACAAUAACUUUAGUAUAAGUAAAUAGAAAUCUAUGAAAUUUUAACACAAGGUUUAUGACCACAAAAGGA